rnacentral:lncRNA from 1 species
AAUCUUUCCAUGGCGGCUUUGGGGUUUCCAAUUGAUAACUAUUUCUCCCUCUGUGGACUCUUUCUUGAAAUUUUCGCUUUACAUUGCACCAUUAACGGUAAGAGCUAUUGAUCUAGUCCUUCCUGUUCUUUUUUCUCUUGAAAUAUUUAUUCAAUUCGAAUUUUGAUACAUUUCUCCAUUUUUGUUUUGACUUUUCGAAGGUUUCAAAUGAUUGUAAAGCUCUAAUAGUUUCAGCUAGUAUAAAUUGAGAAGGAAUGGCAAAAGUUAGAGAUAUAACUGAGGAUUUUAAAGAUGCAAUUCUGCUUGUGGCAACGGUUUUGGGAUACAAUGAGAUUCUUUUCCUUUGUGAAUUUUGUUAUUUUUCAAUCAAUAUGAUAUCAGUCGAAAUUUUUUGAUAUAUUUUUUCCAUUGACCAUUUAUAUGGUGGUUUGAGAUUGGAAUUUAAAACUUUUUCAACACAAUUAUAAAUACUUUGCGAGGUUUGACAGAAGUUUUGUUUUGUGUAAAAUGUUAUGCGAAUUUUGUUUAUGAAAUGCUAUGACGAUUCUCUUAGGUGAUCUUUAUUUUUUUUCUUGGUAUUGUGCCUUCGCUUACUGCAGUUGGUGAUGAGGAAUACUAAUCGAUUCUUACUUAGCCAGUGCUACUGCAAUACGAUUAAUACUAAAUAUUACCUGCUAAAUACUGAUCUUGUUCACAUAUCCGACAACAGAAAUGGUAUUACAAAAUUCUUGUGCUCCAUUUUAUCUUCAUUUUAUCGUAGUUUUUAUGCCUAAGUGAUAUUUUUGUACUUGUUUGCUAUAAUUUUGGUAUGGAUGUCAAGUUUAGGAAAGGAUGCUGAGGCAUUAAUCAAGAAAUUGAGCACAUCGAAAGAUAAAGGUCCCUCAGGUCUCCAAGAGGGCUAGCUGCAAAGUACUGGGAGAAGCCAACUAAGUAUGUUAGCCCAAAAUGCAACCCCCAUUUUAUCCAGCAGCAGCAUUCAAUUAUUGGUUAUUAGAUUGCAGCAAAGCAGUUCCUGCUUCUUGUAACUCUAUGUAUAGAAUAAGGUUGUAACUCUCUUGUAUUUAGCUUUGUUCAUAUUCUAACUGUCCCUUUUUAGCUCAAAUAUGAAACUUUUAGAAAAUGUAAUAACUAUUAUGUAGAACAAAUAGUGAGAAAAGAAAUGAAAAGGUUAUCAUUUUGGUUUUGGUUGGACAAUAGGUCCAGUGAGGCCUCUGGUUCAAAUCCAGAUCAUUCAUUGUCAGUAUGAGUUUAUUUCCAUAAAAAAUGAUUUUUUUGGUAGAAUAGAAUUGUCGCUGAAUGCAAAUGUCAUGUUUUGGUGCUUGUAUAUCCUUUUAUGAAAUCUUAGUUGAAACAAAAGGUUGGUGUCUGAUGUAAUGUUUUGAAUGACAUUUUACCUGCAAGGUUGGCCUUGGUGAAGAUGGAGUGGUGUGGCCCCCAGGACACAUCUCCAAGUGGUAAAAGGGGAGGGUGGAGAAAUCCAGCUUUGUUUAAGGCUGCUGCGUCAAGGGUUCGAAUCCUGAAAUAUGGAUUUGACUUUUGGGUAAGUGCAAGUGUACAAGUAGUCUUCCACCCUGUACCCUUAGAGGCAUAACCUGCGAUUUACCUCCCUCACGAUACUCCAGGACAGAGGUGGUGGGGGACCCUUAAGGUUAGGGUUUAACCUUUUUUGAGAUGGAGUGGUGUGGUGUGGUGUGGUGUGGUGGAGUGGUUGAAUUUGCAUAAAAUAAUAUAUUUUAAGGUUUUGAUGAAUGUUUUGUCACUUUUUUUAAUUUAAGUGACUUUUUUUUUCUUUUAAGUGUUUUCAAUUUUUAGAAUUUUUUUCAAUUUUUUAAUUUACAUCAUUGUUUAUCACUUUUUUUUUAUAUUUCUGUCAUUCUUUUGAGUGACAAAUAUCAAUUUUUGAUAAAUUGACACUUAAUUUUAUAUGGUACUUUUCUCGAACUUUGUCCAGAUUUUCGCCCGAACUUUGUGGGUUUAUUCCGACCGAAUUCUUUGGAGUUAUGGAAAAAUUUUGGGUGGUAAUUGAAGAGGACAUUGUGGGCUUUCCAAUGGUAUCAAAAUUAGAUAAUUUUGAUGGUCAAAAGUUGCCGAAAAAUUGCCUUAAAAGUCGCCCAAAAAUUCUGAAAAUCUGCCCAGAUUUUCAGAAUUUUUGGGCGACUUUUAAGGCAAUUUUUCAAUCGAAUCCCUUGGAGUUAUAAUAAGAUUUUGGAUGGUAAUUGAAGAGGACAUCGUGGGCUUUCCAACAGUAUCAAAAUUCGACAUUCUUUGUGGUUGGAAGUUGUCAAAAAUUUGCCGUAAAAGUAGCCCAAUUAUUUGAAGAGACGAGUGGUGAAUGAGUAAUUAUAUAAAAAGAUGAGUGAGCAUUCAGUAAUAUGUGAAAGAUGAGUGAGCAAGUAGUAAUCAAAUGUAAAGUUCAGUGAUUAUUGGUUAAAUUUACUCAUGUAUUAUUUUAUGUUUGAAAUACUUUUCAUAUGAUUUUUCAAACUCUCAUAAUU